GUUUGCACCGUUAUUAACAUUUAGCUACACAAAACAAUUUUGUGUUUUUUUUUAACAUGGACUCCCAUGAGGUCGCCAAAGUGAGGAAGACAUUUUUGGCCUGUGAAACAUCUGGGGGGUGUCCAGCUGCUUCAGUGGUGGAGAAGUCUGAAGUUGCAGUUCAUAGACAGCAUGAGGAGAGCAAUGCACUGGAUUAGGUACCAUGUUGGAACAAGCAUGAAAUGUCAACAUCGUGACUCCUGGAGAGGAUUUCGAUUGACACAGGUGUGAAAGCAGCAGUGGGUCCUUCUGUGCAAGCACUGCAGGUGCGGAUUCUGUGCUGAGUUGUGACCCCACAG
rnacentral:lncRNA from 1 species